rnacentral:rRNA from 1 species
UACGGAGGAUGCAAGCGUUAUCCGGAAUUAUUGGGCGUAAAGGGCGCGUAGGCGGCUUUUCAAGUGACGGGUGAAAUCCCUCGGCUUAACCGAGGAACUGCCUGUCAGACUGGAAGGCUUGAGACCGGGAGAGGUGAGUGGAAUUCCCAGUGUAGCGGUGAAAUGCGUAGAUAUUGGGAGGAACACCAGUGGCGAAGGCGGCUCACUGGACCGGAACUGACGCUGAGGCGCGAAAGCGUGGGGAGCAAACAGG